CACUGGUCGAGUCGGCCUGCGCGGAAGAUGUAACGGGGCUAAACCAUGCACCGAAGCUGCGGCAGCGACACUGUGUGUUGUUGGGUAGGGGAGCGUUCUGUAAGCCUGUGAAGGUGGCCUGUGAGGGUUGCUGGAGGUAUCAGAAGUGCGAAUGCUGACAUAAGUAACGAUAAAGCGGGUGAAAAGCCCGCUCGCCGGAAGACCAAGGGUUCCUGUCCAACGUUAAUCGGGGCAGGGUGAGUCGACCCCUAAGGCGAGGCCGAAAGGCGUAGUCGAUGGGAAACGGGUUAAUAUUCCCGUACUUGGUGUUACUGCGAAGGGGGGACGGAGAAGGCUAUGUUGGCCGGGCGACGGUUGUCCCGGUUUAAGCGUGUAGGUGUGUGUUCCAGGUAAAUCCGGUUCACUUUAACACUGAGGCGUGACGACGAGGCACUACGGUGCUGAAGCAACAAAUGCCCUGCUUCCAGGAAAAGCCUCUAAGCAUCAGGUAACAUCAAAUCGUACCCCAAACCGACACAGGUGGUCAGGUAGAGAAUACCAAGGCGCUUGAGAGAACUCGGGUGAAGGAACUAGGCAAAAUGGUGCCGUAACUUCGGGAGAAGGCACGCUGACACGUAGGUGAAGUGAUUUACUCACGGAGCUGAAGUCAGUCGAAGAUACCAGCUGGCUGCAACUGUUUAUUAAAAACACAGCACUGUGCAAACACGAAAGUGGACGUAUACGGUGUGACGCCUGCCCGGUGCCGGAAGGUUAAUUGAUGGGGUCAGCGCAAGCGAAGCUCCUGAUCGAAGCCCCGGUAAACGGCGGCCGUAACUAUAACGGUCCUAAGGUAGCGAAAUUCCUUGUCGGGUAAGUUCCGACCUGCACGAAUGGCGUAAUGAUGGCCAGGCUGUCUCCACCCGAGACUCAGUGAAAUUGAACUCGCUGUGAAGAUGCAGUGUACCCGCGGCAAGACGGAAAGACCCCGUGAACCUUUACUAUAGCUUGACACUGAACAUUGAGCCUUGAUGUGUAGGAUAGGUGGGAGGCUUUGAAGCGUGGACGCCAGUCUGCGUGGAGCCGACCUUGAAAUACCACCCUUUAAUGUUUGAUGUUCUAACGUGGACCCGUGAUCCGGGUUGCGGACAGUGUCUGGUGGGUAGUUUGACUGGGGCGGUCUCCUCCUAAAGAGUAACGGAGGAGCACGAAGGUUGGCUAAUCCUGGUCGGACAUCAGGAGGUUAGUGCAAUGGCAUAAGCCAGCUUGACUGCGAGCGUGACGGCGCGAGCAGGUGCGAAAGCAGGUCAUAGUGAUCCGGUGGUUCUGAAUGGAAGGGCCAUCGCUCAACGGAUAAAAGGUACUCCGGGGAUAACAGGCUGAUACCGCCCAAGAGUUCAUAUCGACGGCGGUGUUUGGCACCUCGAUGUCGGCUCAUCACAUCCUGGGGCUGAAGUAGGUCCCAAGGGUAUGGCUGUUCGCCAUUUAAAGUGGUACGCGAGCUGGGUUUAGAACGUCGUGAGACAGUUCGGUCCCUAUCUGCCGUGGGCGCUGGAGAACUGAGGGGGGCUGCUCCUAGUACGAGAGGACCGGAGUGGACGCAUCACUGGUGUUCGGGUUGUCAUGCCAAUGGCACUGCCCGGUAGCUAAAUGCGGAAGAGAUAAGUGCUGAAAGCAUCUAAGCACGAAACUUGCCCCGAG
rnacentral:rRNA from 1 species